GUAGGUGAACCUGCGGAAGGAUCAUUAUCACGUAUCCACGUUAUAAACCAACUGUGAACUGUUUACAUUAACCACUUGAACCAAUUAAUUUUACUUUGUUUGUACUGAUUUGUUCUUUACUCAGGUGUAACAACCCGAGAAGGAAUGUAAUACGAAACAAAAGAACAACUCUUAGCAACGGAUAUCUUGGUUCUCGCAUCGAUGAAGAACGCAGCAUCUGACUGACUUCAACUAAUGCCAUCUCGUAUGC
rnacentral:misc_RNA from 1 species